AACCCGCUUGAGUCAGCUUCUGCAUUGUGGAAGGUUUGUUCUUUCUCUCUUUGCAGUAAAUCUUACUGCUGCUCACUUUUUGGGUCCACACUGCGUUUAUUAGCUGCAACGCUCACCGCUAUGGUCUGCAGCUUCACUCCUGAAGCCAGCGAGACCACGAACCCACCAGAAUGAAGAAACUCCGAACACAUCCAAACAUCAGAAGGAACAAACUCCGGACAGGCGGCCUUUAAGAACUGUAACACUCACCUCGAGGGUCUGCGGCUUCAUUCUUGAAGUCAGUGAGACCAAGAACCCACCAAUUCCGGACACAAUGUUACUCCAGAUAAUCAGCGCCAUUUUCUGAAGCUUGAGAUGCAGGAAAAGAGGAGUGCUAUCCAUUAGAUGGAGACAGGAAGUAGAAAAAGAGCUUAAAGUUUUGGCUUGUGUUACUUCCUUGGGG
rnacentral:lncRNA from 1 species